rnacentral:rRNA from 1 species
GUGCCAGCCGCCGCGGUAAUACGUAGGUGGCAAGCGUUAUCCGGAAUUAUUGGGCGUAAAGCGCGCGUAGGCGGUUUUUUAAGUCUGAUGUGAAAGCCCACGGCUCAACCGUGGAGGGUCAUUGGAAACUGUAAAACUUGAGUGCAGAAGAGGAAAGUGGAAUUCCAUGUGUAGCGGUGAAAUGCGCAGAGAUAUGGAGGAACACCAGUGGCGAAGGCGACUUUCUGGUCUGUAACUGACGCUGAUGUGCGAAAGCGUGGGGAUCAAACAGGAUUAGAUA